rnacentral:antisense_RNA from 1 species
CUGAAUAUCUCAGAGGCGCACCUGGGCGGCCAGCUGGGCUCGGAGUGCAGCGGGGUUAGGGUGGACGAGGACGUGUUGCACCCUGAAGAGCCUCAUCAUCGCCUGCUCUUGAGGUUCACAGAUGAUACCUUUGAUCCAGAACUUGCAGCAACAAUAGAUCCAUCUUCGGUUGUGAAUCCGGCCCGGGAUGCAGCCACCCCUUAGAGCAACCCCCCCUGCUGCUCGUGCCCUGCUGUGCUACUGCCUCAGUCACUUCCUGCUUGGUCAAGACCACAGCUGCUGAUGUCACAGCUGAGGCACAUCAAAAAGGCUGCCUGAUUCAAAGAAAGCUGCCGGAUAAAUCAUAGAACACAGACACUUCUACCUCAUGCUCUUAUGGGACUUUAGGAACCAAACAUAAGCACCUAUGGAAAAUGCACGGCGGUCUUGAAAGGCUGUGGUCUUUCAAGAAAAUAUCUGAAUGACUGUCUGUCAGUCCUACUCUGCAGGCUUGCUAAGAUGAUGAUUGAAAGGGCUCUUGGUUUCUGCUUUGGAAUCUGGCAUUUAUGUUUUGAAGCGUUGUGAGCAAGCGAUGUGGCAGAUUGCAGGGUGAGGGGGACAAACCUGGGCCAGGAGCCAGGGGUUUCUCUACCCCCUUCCCUGACUUACAGCUGGAACUGGGCUCAGUGGUUUCAGCCUCUUUUGCUAAGAAGGUCUGGGUAUGUAAUCCUGGCUGCACCUUAAAAUCCCUGGGAGCUUUUAAGACAUAUUGACACAUAAGCUCUAACUCACAUGAAACGAAAACACAUCUCUGGGGCAGGGCUGAGCAAAUGCAUUUUUUAAAAGGCCCCUCAGGUGAUUCUGUCUCAGAGAUGUUGAAAACCAGUGGGUUAGGAGCUCAGUCAUCCACUUUCAGAUCUGUGAUUAUGCCACUAUUAAAUACAGUUGGCUAUCACAUAGAUUUUAUGCUUUAGCUUGUUCUUUUUUCCUUUGCUAUACCAAAUAAAAUCUUUUGAGCUGUAGUUCCAGUCCUUAAAAUAAUGGUUGUUACCAUACUGAGGUUAAACAUUAGUGCAUUUGCUUAACAAGGACUUUAAAACUUAUCACACUGCCAUAAUUUUUAAUGGUUUCUAUAAUGAUUAAUUAAUAAGAAAAUCAAUAAUUGGAUUUUAAGCAGGAAACUAGGCAGGAAAGUUGAAAUUCAUAGACCAAUUCAAUGGAAAACAUUAAAAUGUAUUGGGAGAUGCCCAAUAUUCUA